rnacentral:rRNA from 1 species
GAAUCCAGGCCCUACGGGGCGCAGCAGGCGCGAAAACUUUACAAUGCGGGAAACCGUGAUAAGGGAACUCCGAGUGCCCGUAAAAUCGGGCUGUCCAUCUGUUUAAAUAACAGGUGAAGAAAGGGCCGGGCAAGACCGGUGCCAGCCGCCGCGGUAAUACCGGCGGCUCGAGUGGUGGCCACUAUUACUGGGCUUAAAGCGUUCGUAGCUGGUCUGUUAAGUCUCUGGGGAAAUCUACUGGCUUAACCAAUAGGCGUUUCAGGGAUACUGGCAGACUAGGGACCGGGAGAGGUGAGAGGUACUCCAGGGGUAGGAGUGAAAUCCUGUAAUCCUUGGGGGACCACCUGUGGCGAAGGCGUCUCACCAGAACGGCUCCGACAGUGAGGGACGAAAGCUGGGGGAGCAAACCGGAUUAGAUACCCGGGUAGUCCCAGCUGUAAACGAUGCGCGUUAGGUGUAUCGAUGACCACGAGUCAUCGAGGUGCCGAAGAGAAAUCGUGAAACGUGCCGCCUGGGAAGUACGGUCGCAAGGCUGAAACUUAAAGGAAUUGGCGGGGGAGCACCACAACAGGUGGAGCCUGCGGUUUAAUCGGACUCAACGCCGGAAAUCUCACCGGAUAAGACAGCUGUAUGAUAGUCGGGCUGAAGGCUCUACUUGACUAGCUGAGAGGAGGUGCAUGGCCA